rnacentral:lncRNA from 1 species
AUUCAGCCCAGGGCUGGAGCCUAAUCAGGCGGGCACCUUAGAGGCAGAGAAGCCAGCUCCACCGCCAUCAGAUGUCCAUGCAGCUGUGUUCAGACCUUGACUGAACGUAGAUGACUGAGACUGCAGAACAGGUGCAGAGCAUUUAACUGACCGGAAAGACCAGAACUGAGGACAUUUCUCUGGAGGCCAGAACCCGCAUCUCAAGAUUCGGAUGCCAUCCCAGUGGAACAAAUGUCAGAGCCAUCAGUGAAGACCUGAAGGCCAGAGACAGUCCCCUGGGCCAGGGCGGUAAAGUCUUUGGUCGAGCUGGGGCCUGGCCCCACCCCGUAAAUAUCUCCCUGCUCUGGAGAGGGCGUGCGGAGAGGCGGGCGUGGAAGGAGACCAGUCCGCAGCCGGAGCUGCAGCACCAGCCUCCUCCCUGAUAGUCCACCCACAGAGGAAAGUGAAGGCUGUUCCACCUUCCUUUUCCAUGGACAAGGGGCAGAGAUUUUAAUUAAAAUGAGUUCUGGAAAGUCACCCUCAUUUUCUGAGAGAGAGGAAACGUGGCC